rnacentral:rRNA from 1 species
UACGUAGGGCGCAAGCGUUGUCCGGAUUUAUUGGGCGUAAAGGGUGCGUAGGCGGUCGGGUAAGUCUGAUGUGAAAUCUCACAGCUUAACUGUGAAACUGCAUUGGAUACUAUCCGGCUCGAGGAAUGGAGGGGAGACUGGAAUACUUGGUGUAGCAGUGAAAUGCGUAGAUAUCAAGUGGAACACCAGUGGCGAAGGCGGCUCACUGGCCCGGUACUGACGCUGAGGUGCGAAAGCGUGGGGAGUAAACAGG